rnacentral:rRNA from 1 species
UGGGGAAUAUUGGACAAUGGGCGAAAGCCUGAUCCAGCCAUGCCGCGUGUGUGAAGAAGGUCUUCGGAUUGUAAAGCACUUUAAGUUGGGAGGAAGGGCAGUAAGCGAAUACCUUGCUGUUUUGACGUUACCGACAGAAUAAGCACCGGCUAACUCUGUGCCAGCAGCCGCGGUAAUACAGAGGGUGCAAGCGUUAAUCGGAAUUACUGGGCGUAAAGCGCGCGUAGGUGGUUCGUUAAGUUGAAUGUGAAAGCCCCGGGCUCAAACUGGGAAAUGCAUCCAAAACUGGCGAGCUAGAGUAGGGCAGAGGGUGGUGGAAUUUCCUGUGUAGCGGUGAAAUGCGUAGAUAUAGGGAGGAACACCCGUGGCGAAGGCGACCACCUGGGCUCAUACUGACACUGAGGUGCGAAAGCGUGGGGAGCAAACAGG